rnacentral:rRNA from 1 species
ACUGAACGCUGGCGGCAGGCCUAACACAUGCAAGUCGAGCGGAUGAAGGGAGCUUGCUCCUGGAUUCAGCGGCGGACGGGUGAGUAAUGCCUAGGAAUCUGCCUGGUAGUGGGGGAUAACGUCCGGAAACGGGCGCUAAUACCGCAUACGUCCUGAGGGAGAAAGUGGGGGAUCUUCGGACCUCACGCUAUCAGAUGAGCCUAGGUCGGAUUAGCUAGUUGGUGGGGUAAAGGCCUACCAAGGCGACGAUCCGUAACUGGUCUGAGAGGAUGAUCAGCCACACUGGAACUGAGACACGGUCCAGACUCCUACGGGAGGCAGCAGUGGGGAAUAUUGGACAAUGGGCGAAAGCCUGAUCCAGCCAUGCCGCGUGUGUGAAGAAGGUCUUCGGAUUGUAAAGCACUUUAAGUUGGGAGGAAGGGCAGUAAGUUAAUACCUUGCUGUUUUGACGUUACCAACAGAAUAAGCACCGGCUAACUUCGUG